ensembl:lncRNA LOC102552313 uncharacterized LOC102552313
GUCAGAGCCUGGUUCCUAAUAGUCCUAACGAGCUGGGCUUGGGCACCUGUCCUCCGUAGCCCACACAGGCAAGAAUUCUUAAAAGUCCGGGAAGGAAAAAGCCACCUUAGGAAAAGGAACAAAAAGGGCCAGUGACCCCCGUUCCCUCACCAAGUUCCCCAACAGAGUCCUAACAUAACGUUUGAGUUUAAAUAGAAGCAACUGACUUCUUCGGGGGGCCGGAGGAAGGGCCCCGAGCGUCGUCUUUCCCGCGGUCGGGUGUGCACCGCCAGCACGCAUCAGUUCUCCAGAUGUGGAUCCUUCAGCGCUGCCUCUGAGACUCACUCGCCAGGGAACGGAUGGAUGUGCGAGGGAAGAAGCAGAAGCAGCUCCUUCCCUUCCGCUUUGGCUUCUGAGAAUCGGGGCACCGACCGUCGCGAGAGGCUCCUGGGCGGCCAGGUCCCUCAGUGCCCGGCUCCUUCCUCCAGGCCGGACAGCCUCCCUCGCCUGCUGAGCGCCAGCCUGCUCUCCCUCUCUAAACCGAUCGGAUUUCCUGCCAGUUCCCUUCAGCGUGCCAAGAUUCUGCUGUUUGUCUCAAAGAAACGGAAAACAUCUCCCCCACCCCACCCCCACCUUUCCUCUCUCUGAG